ACUAGUUAUCUAAAUUUUGCUAGAAAAGUUUCCCUUUAACAAAAUUCCCUAUAGCUUCAGCCAUCCAAGCCCAUUUCACCAAAUUAAUUCCCAGCCCAAUUCAAGUUUUUUUUAGUAUCCCAGUUCCCCUAUAACCCCAAACCCAUUAAAACUCCAGCCUUUUUGUCCAAAAUACCUGACCCAUUUUUUCCUUUCCAUAAAAGAAUUCAGUCUUCCCCGAUGUACGCAACAUUUCCCCACGCUUUGCUCCAUCCAUUUUCCUCACGGCAUGGGUAGAAAAAAUGGUCAUCAAAAAGCGCAUCACAAGUAGCAAAUGCACUGACAAUGGUUCUAGAAGCACACGCGUGAACAAUGUACGUGUCUCUUCUCCUUCGAUGUCUUUUUCAACUCGUCCCUUUCUUCUUUCUGUGCUUGUACGACCCCAACAACAGCUCCAAGAACGCAAGAAUCAUCCUUGGGACGAAUAAAAUUAUGCCACGUUGCAAUUCCAAGGACGAUGGAACCAUCUCAACCAUCUAUCCCCUUCCGCCCUUUCUGGAAUAUAGACAAAAUCUUAGAAAAAGUUGUUGAUUCUAUCCUCACCGCUUCCUUUAUCAAAUUUUGAAAUACCCUUGGAUUUGGUCGAUUCUAUCCUCACCUCUUCCUUUAGGAAAACCCAAAUCCUCCUCUAUAUAUCUCUUUCCUAUUCACUAUUUUAGGGGAGUUAGGGGGAUUUUGAUUUUUUAGGCAAAGGAUUUUUUUUGAGUUUCUUAAAAAAAGAGCGAGCAAUUUUUUUCUUUGGAAUUUAACUCCUUCAAGUUUGUUUACAACUAGCUGGAGGACACUGAUACAACUGGAACUUGGGAAAAAGGAGUUUGAUUUUUCUAGUUGAAUUUUUUGUUGGAAAAUCCCUUGAGUAGGAAUGUCAAGAGCUGCUAAGAAAAUAGUAUAGAAACACGAUAAGAUGUUCGAAACAACGUUAUGUUCUAGUUCUCCGUCGAGAUAUCACACAUUCCUUCUAGUUGCGUCGUGUCCUCUCAAACUCCGUUUUAAGUCGAGCUUUGUGGUCGGAAGAUCGUGUUUGUUCUCCAUCUCGCUGCACUCGAAAAGCGUCUCUCCCGCGUCUCUGGAGACUCUUUCCCUCCCAUUUUGGAAGAAUCAUAAAGACUUAUACUUCCUUCCAUCAAGUCAAUACAUGUAUUAAAUGUACAUGUUUUGAAGAGGAAGAAGUUGAAGAGAUUGGGCCUCAAAGGACCAAAUUCAUUCGAAAGAUUAUUUUUCGGGCAUAUGCCCUUGUCGUAUUUAUUUAUUUAUUUAUUAUUGUAAGAUUAUUUUAGGAUAGGUACAAAAACAACUGGGUCAAAAAACCCAAAAGAAGUGGGUCCAAAUACCGUUCAAGGAAGACAGAUAACCCGAAUUAGGACCAAACUCUCUCCUCUCUCUCUCCUCUUGUAUUCUCGUUUAUUUAUAUAAUUUAGUUUUUGAUAGUUUUAAA